AUGUUAAGGCGACACCAUAGAUUUAUUGGAAAAAACUUUGGCUAAUUGGGUCUAGACUCCACAUCAUCUAUUAGUCUAUCACUUUUCGUUUUCAGUUUCAUAUCUUCUCAAACCCCCUUCUCACAAAAACCCCUCUCAGGCUCUCGCCUUCCUCCUCCCUCAUACUCUCACAAACGCUCUCUCUUCGAAAUAGAUGGCGGCAAGGCGUCUUUUCUCCAUGGCGUCCUACCACCUUCAACCCUUCUCUGUAUUGUCUUCAAGCUCCUUAUACCCCGCGAUGGCGACCAAAUUGCGGAGGUUAGGGUUCCGUAAAAAAUGUAGAAUAAAUAAUUAUUUUUCUUUAUAUUUAAUUUUAACUUUUUGUUUGAUAUAAAUUUAAGUCAAGAAUUCAUCUAAUUGUGAAUUGUUUUAAUUUAAUUUUGAUCUCGUUGAUGUUUUGCUGCUCGAAAAGUUGUGAUUUUGGUUAUUAUCACACGGAGUUGUUGGGGCUAUUAUUCAAAGGUCAGAGAACCACUGUAGUGAUGGAUCGACAUCAAAAUGUCAUUAGUCAGAGCAAAUAAAUACAGUAGCAUUAUCAGCCGAAUUUUCUAUACUUGUGUUUUUUAGUUAUGUUUUAAUUGAAAUGUCUGUUUCUUUGUUGUUAAUGAGUCGGAAUUUAUUUUUCUUUAUUGUUCGUUAACAUCAAUUAUGUUUUCUUGGUGAAAUGCUUGCAGCUAUUAUCCUCUUAUUGAUUUUGUAGUUGUUUACAACUCUCUGCUUGCCUUGAGAAAAAGAUUUGAAUUGUUAAUCUGAGUGAGAAAUGUGUGCUGCUGAAUUUGCCAACUACUAUGUAUUUUGGGUGGAAUGGGAAUAACAUGCUUGGUUGUCGACUGGGUAGUUGUAAUGAAAAUUUAUUGCAUGCUUAUUGUGCCUUACAAUCUCUUUGCUGGCCUUUAGCCAAAGAUGCACUAUACUGGAUUGUCAAGCUUUUUCACUUAUUGUAGACAAGGGCAAAUUUGAGUGUGGAUCUCUUCCAUUUUUAAUGGAUAAGAGGCAGUUUAAUGUUUUCUUGGUGUAUGCUUGUAGUUUUAAAGUUAAUGGAUAUAAAUAGUAAUCAAGCUUAGCAUUCGAUGCAUAUAAAUAUUUUCCUUGAUCAGACUUUGUAUGCCUUUAAUCAUUCCCUUCUUGGGUAUACAUAUGUUUGGUCUGAAUUCACUUUAGCACCAACCAUAUAAUCGUGAAUUUGGUAUUUGGAAUUACUUUUGAGUUUUGGGUUGGGAAUGUGAUUGAAUUUAGUGUGAACUCUGAAGUUAAAUAAAUUUGGAGCUAGUUGGGGUUGGAGGUAUGUAUUUAAUUUUUCUUCAGAUUUCAGUAAUGAGAAUUAAACUAUCAUGAUUGUGUAAAGUGCUAGUUUGAAUUAUAGAAGUUUUGUGAAUAAGGUCCUGCGUGUGACUAGUUUGUUUUCUAGAUGGCACUUUCGUUUGUGUUUUCUUGUUGCUUGCUGUAUGGGAUAGAGGAAAGUCUUCUUCUUGUAAGAGUAGCUUCUUAGUUGUACUUUGGUGUUGUUCGCUGGAAGUGGAAAUAACUUAUUUGCAAUUAUCAGGUUCAGCCAGAUUGAGUGUUGUUGUAAAAGUGAGGGCAUCUAGGUUAUCAGACCAGGCCUUGACUUCUCGUUAAUUGAUAUAUGUAGAUUUUUCUGUUUUUUUUCUUCUUCCUUUUAAUGUUUAGCAAGGAUUUGGGAUUACAAAUAUUACUCCAAAUUUUAGUUGAAGCAUGGAAUGACAUAUAUAUUACAGACAUGGUAUUAGACUGAAGCUUUCUUUUGUGGGAUAAGUAAUUGACAUGUCUUGGUAACUUGGUAACCUCUGUGUAACUUCUACCUUGGCAGCUCAUCUUUAAAUUGGCAAACAGACUUUCUCAGAAACAAUUACGGAGGCAUACAUCCUUUCAAGUUAAUAGAGAAGCCACAUACAUGAAAGAUAUUCCUAUCUAUUCUAGUAUGCUAAAGUACGUGUCCACUGUCAAGUUCUAUCAUCCCGGACUUUCCUUUUCUUGUUUAAGGGGGUUCUGUCUGAAUUGAGACACUUAUAUUAAAUGCAUCAGAAAGUAACAUACCCCCUUCCCCCUUAAUUUAACAAGAGCACUACAAGGAUCUCAAGGCCAAGUCAUCGUAUCAGAAUCUGAAUCGACUGCAUAACUUUGGGUCCUGUUGUGUGUAUGGUAUGAUUUAUUUAUUAACCUUUCUGAUCUCCGUAAAUGCAAUCUUGGAGUGAAUAUAAGUAGUGAUAUGAGGCGAUAUUUGAUGAAUACUAGGGUUGGGAGGGUGUUGGAGUUGUUGCUUCAUCACGUAAGCUAAUAGGAGCUACCGAUCCUCUUUAGGCUGAACUUGGAACUAUCAGAGGGGAUCUUGUUGUUCAAACGGGGAGGUUGAUCUCUUAGCCUUUCAACUAAAUUUCCAUGAUGUCUAAAGUUGUAAAAUCAUGUUGCGGUCUCAGAGAUUGUUAGCUAUGCAGUAUUCUGAAUUCUAUUUAAUACUUGCUGGAAUAUGGUUCAUGGAAGUGAUAGCCCUGAAAAUGGCAAGCGUGAAAUAGGUCUGUGCCUUUUCUAAUUUCUUAUCUGGAAUACAAUUACUUGCACGAAUGUCCAAGAAAUUACUGAACAUGGAAUGCAUACAUAUAUCUUGUGUGGAUAUUUGGAUAAGGUAAACAAAAAAUAUGAUCUCAAAACUUUGUUUAACUUUGACUAGAUAUGAUUAAUAAAGGGUAACUUAUACUUGUGGAAUUGGUUUAGGUUUUUGCAAAAGGAGAUCACGAUGUAUUCCAUUUUUCCCUUAAAAUUAAUGUUUUCCUUGUUUAUGAAGUAUAAAUCAUUGGAUUUUAGUUGUGAUUUCCCUUGAAAGAGGGGAAGCUUUUUCUUGGAUUUCAUGGUUGAUGGGUCGUUAGACAAUUUGCAUAUCAAAGGCUCCGUGGCUGUGUGAGUACUCUAUUUAAUAGUUACGACAAUCUAUUUUACAGUCUUGUUUCCA